GGGUAAAAUCCGUAGAUAUCACCAAGAAUACCCAUUGCGAAGGCGAUCUGCUGGAACUCAACUGACGCUAAGGCGCGAAAGCGUGGGGAGCAAACAGGAUUAGAUACCCUGGUAGUCCACGCCCUAAACGAUGUACACUAGUUGUUGGGGUGCUAGUCAUCUCAGUAAUGCAGCUAACGCAUUAAGUGUACCGCCUGGGGAGUACGGUCGCAAGAUUAAAACUCAAAGGAAUAGACGGGGACCCGCACAAGCGGUGGAGCAUGUGGUUUAAUUCGAAGAUACGCGAAGAACCUUACCUGGGCUUGAUAUCCUAAGAACCUUUUAGAGAUAAGAGGGUGCUAGCUUGCUAGAACUUAGAGACAGGUGCUGCACGGCUGUCGUCAGCUCGUGUCGUGAGAUGUUGGGUUAAGUCCCGCAACGAGCGCAACCCACGUAUUUAGUUGCUAACGGUUCGGCCGAGCACUCUAAAUAGACUGCCUUCGUAAGGAGGAGGAAGGUGUGGACGACGUCAAGUCAUCAUGGCCCUUAUGCCCAGGGCGACACACGUGCUACAAUGGCAUAUACAAUGAGACGCAAUACCGCGAGGUGGAGCAAAUCUAUAAAAUAUGUCCCAGUUCGGAUUGUUCUCUGCAACUCGAGAGCAUGAAGCCGGAAUCGCUAGUAAUCGUAGAUCAGCCAUGCUACGGUGAAUACGUUCCCGGGUCUUGUACUCACCGCCCGUCACACCAUGGGAGUUGAUUUCACUCGAAGCCGGAAUACUAAACUAGUUACCGUCCACAGUGGAAUCAGCGACUGGGGUGAAGUCGUAACAAGGUAACCGUAGGAGAACCUGCGGUUGGAUCACCUCCUUUCUA
rnacentral:rRNA from 1 species